CAAAAAUACAAAAAACUAAAUAUUAUUAACUUAAUAAAAUCAUCCACUACAUAAUCAUUAAUUAUCUUUACAAUUAACCAUCUAAAGCUACCAUGUUUCUUCAAUCAAAGUAUAUAUCUAAAUAUAUAGAAAGAGUACACUUCAUAAUUCCAUCCCUUGUCUUCCGUAAACGUAGCACGAAAAUUUGAUACCCAGUAUUGUAAGGCAGGUAGUAGAAGCAGUCUUCCUGCACAUAUUUAAAUAUAAUAGCAAAGUCAGGAAAAUGAAGGGAAAUUAUGAUCAUAAAGGUGUUGGUAUCUAUAUAUUAAUAAGACAUUUUAUCUAUAUUUAACACAUUUCACUUACUGACUAUUGCACAAUUUUCCAACUAUCCACACUAAUCAAUCCUAAUACAUUAAACAUUAACCUUCAAAUUCAAAAAACUAUAAAAAUUAUUAGUACCUAACUAUAACUGAAAUCUGUAUAAAGGUGUGAACGCAAUCAAAUUCACACUGCCCACCUAUGCAUACUAACACUGGAGAUUAGUUUAUAGCAUGAAUAACAUAAAGACCUCAAAUUUGAUUAGUCCCAAAAGAACAUUAAUCUAUAAAAAUUUAUUGCAUCAAUAAGAAUAUACCAGGCUGGAGCCAUUUGAAGCAGAAGACACUGAUUCGACAUUUGCUUCAGAAUUAUCAUCAACCAAACAAGAAACUACCAGAACCCCAAACAAACAAUUCGAUGUUUUUCUCAGGUUAUGAGAAAUCUCCAGUCUGUAAAGCAGAACCGGGAACUAUAAAUAUAUUUUUGUUGGAUUAUCAUAAACAGUUCAAAUAUUGAUGCAAAGAGCAAAAUAAAAAAAAUAAAAAACAAGUUAAAGGGAAAGCUACACACCAGAAGAGGGAUAAUUUACCUGUAGGAUUUGAGGGAACCCAAAUUGGGCCUGAAGAAAUUAGUGUAGGGGAUGGAACAAAAAAUGUAACCAAGAAUUGCAGCAAGUCUUCUCAGUUUGCACCCAAAAAAAAGUCUUUUCUCAGACAUACAUAGCCAAGAAUUUACAUUUGUGUGCAGUAAGUCUCUUCUCAGACAUACAAUAAUCUUCUAAGACAAGUAGGUGAAUAAGAGCAUAUGAUUCAAGAACACGAUAUUGAGCUUCUCUUUCUAAAAUCCAAGUCUUUAUGCAUAAUGGUAACAGCUAAAUAAACUAGUUAGCACAAAGAAGUCUACAUACCAAGACAAGCUGCACUAGAAGAUAAGAGAACAUUGUAAAAGAGCAAACCCACAUCGUCCUCUAGAUCAGUUGAUCUUUUUAUGGCCUCCUACAGAUCCAUGACAUACUAAAUUGGGUUUUCCAUGUAUCUUAAUCAGUACUAAUUGCAUUAUUUCAAGUUGAAACAAGAACAAGAAAUGGGGCAGAGAGUAUCACAUUGUAAAUCAAUUUAUUGUGAAUGUAACAGACGUAGAAUAUUGCAUAGACAAAGUGAUUCCUAAAAGGUACGAAGCACUAUGCAAGCUUCCUCAGUCACAAUUGCGAUAAACACGAAUGCGAUCUCAUAGGAGAAAUUAAUUUCUCGAGGAAAGCAAUAACAUAGAGAAAAAUCUAAAGCUAGAAUCUGUCAGGCUAACAGAUAGAAAUGAGUUAUUGUCAGCAGUGUAGGAGGAAAUAUUUUUUUCAUUUAUUAAAAUAUAGAAGAUUUUACAGAUAAUUCUUCUUCUUCUUUAUUUGUGUGUGUCGGAGGGGGCGGGGGAGUUGGAAAGUUCACUCUAUACAGAAACAAGUGGAACCAAAUCAAAAUAAAACUCUUAGAAAUGAGAGGCUUCCAAUCUCUAUGAAUAUCCAAGACCACUAGGGCUAAAAAGCACCCACAGCAAAAGACUAAAGCAAAGCUAGAAAGAAAUAAUUAUAAGUAAGAUGGAAAAGAAACCAGUUUUCUCAAAUCUCAGCAAAAAGCAAAGGGCAGACAAUGAUCCGUAAACAUUCUUCCAUUCAAUUAAGUCAAAUGCCCCAUAAGCUGCAAAUAAAGCACACUUCGAAGGAAUCUUAGCAUACUUGCUCCUUGCAAAACCCCUUAACCCAACAGAAAGCGAUUAUCAAUCACUAAAGAAUGGAACAACCAAGCCUCCUCGAAGGUGCAGACUGCAAAAAGUGACACCAAAUUGGGCUUGAAGAAAUUAGUGCAGGGGAUGGAACCGAAAGUGAUAGAGCCUACUGGAGAUGCAGCCUCCAGCUGCAGACACAGUUGCCUAGACACAACUGCAGUCAAAGCAGUCCAGCCCCAGGCCAAAAAGGCAUAGAUUGCAGUAGCUAACCAAACCAUCUGGUCGAAACCAUGCCAAACCAGCAAAGUACACUUUAACAUGCAUCAAUAAAAAAUAGUUAACAUCAUACAAAAAUUAGGCAACCGAAUGAAAGGCAUGGGCUACUGGCAGUUAAUAUUAUUCUAUAAUAAACUUGAAGCACAACAAUAACUAAAUUCCAUAUUUCUAAUUCAUCCUAUCACAGUCAAAAUAACCUCCAAAUUAUUGCACAAUUGUAAUAUACCACACUACUAAAUUUUAUAUUACAAAAGCUAUGGACAAGAAAAUGACCUCAAACGCGAUUAAAUUAGUUAAUUUCCCAGUGCAAGAGGAUCAAUUUAGACAGUAUAGCAUUAAAUAAACGAACCAAUGCACAGUCAGGUAUUUUUUCAAACACUUUACACUCGUAACAAACUUAAAAAAUGUAAAUUAUAAAAUUGCAUAUCCACAAAACUCAAAUCAACAUUUGAUAACAGAUUAAAACAAAAAUUCAGAUAAACUAUAUAAACUAAAUUUAAAAACCUUCAAGCCAACACAUACCUCCGGUAUCUGUCAGGUAUAGGGCUUUCUCCUCCACUGUAUCCGGGACUGUCCUGAUGCUCAGGCUUUAAAUCUGGGCUAGCUUAACGACGGUAAUCAUCAGGACUAACCCUCUUUGUUCGAGGGCUAGGGAUCCGACCAUGAUCAUACUCGGGAGUAAGCACAUCUCUCUGGUUGGAGUCUCGCACAGGGUCAGGGCUAGGCCUCUCUCUUCGAGGACUCAUUCUGUAUACAGGCCCCCUAAGCUGGCGAUCUGCACUAAAUUACAAAUUAGGGUUCAUGAGAAAUUGGGGAAAAUUGGAGCAGCGCUAGAUUUGGUAGAUUAAAUAACAAACUUAUCGAUUAUAUGAAAACUUGUUGCCGAUCUAAAGUAAAUUGUGAUUAGAGAUGAUGAGAAGAGAAGAAAUCAAAGCGAAACAUUGGAUAUGUUGUGUUUCACCAACUGGGCUACGUUUUAUCCCAAUUCGGAUAUCCAGCCCUUCAUGUUUCUAAAUUCUAAUCGAUGGUUAAGAUGCUAUUU
rnacentral:lncRNA from 1 species